rnacentral:rRNA from 1 species
UACGUAGGUGGCAAGCGUUGUCCGGAAUUAUUGGGCGUAAAGCGCGCGCAGGCGGCCUCUUAAGUCUGAUGUGAAAGCCCCCGGCUCAACCGGGGAGGGCCAUUGGAAACUGGGAGGCUUGAGUAUAGGAGAGAAGAGUGGAAUUCCACGUGUAGCGGUGAAAUGCGUAGAGAUGUGGAGGAACACCAGUGGCGAAGGCGGCUCUCUGGACGGUAACUGACGCUGAGACGCGAAAGCGUGGGGAGCAAACAGGG